CUGAGCAGAGGCAGCUGAGCUGGUGUGAAAGGCCGUGGUGGAAACACACGUGCAUGAAAGAUGGAUCCCCAGAAAAAUUCACAGCAGCUUUCAUCACUGGCUAUCAAGCCCCUUCCUUACCAUGUCUCUAUCCCAGGAGGGCUGCACCCAGACAAGGUCAUCACUGUGUCAGGCAUUGUCCCUCACAAUGCUAAGAGGUUCAACAUCAACCUGUGCACUGAGAGUGACAUCGCCUUCCACCUGAACCCUCGUUUUGAUGAAAACAUUGUGGCCUGAAACACUCUGAUCCAGGGCAGCUGGGGAACAGAGGAGCGAGAUCUGCCCUUCAAUAUGCCCUUCAGACAAGGAUACAGCUUCAUGGCCCAGAUCAAAUGCGAAGAGGACUGCUACAAGGUGACCGUGGAUGGCCAAGACCUGCUAGAAUACCCCCACCGCCUGAAGGCCCUGCCAGCCAUUAAUCAGCUGGAGGUGGCUGGCGAUCUCGAGCUUACUACAGUGAAUGUCUAGGUGGGCUCCCUGGCCUGGUGCAUCACAGUCUGUGUCUCUUCCCGCUCCUCUUCCAUGCCCUACACCCACUUCCACGAAGCCCUGACCUCUGAGCAGAGAUUGCGGCUCACUGUAACAGCAGGCAAACCUCCAGCUCCACUCCUCCUGACCCUGUGGGGGUCCUGAGCCUGCUGAGCCCCAGCAAAGUCCCACACUGCAUGCGGCCCUCAAUCGCUCUCCCAUCCUCUGUGCAUCCCCACUUGGGUCCCAAGACACAGCUGUGCACUGCAGUAAGGAGGAGACCUGCAGGGCCCUCCCGGUCCAGUGACCUUAACCUCUGUCCUUGGCUGUGCACCCUGCUGCCCCCAACCCCUCUGGGAAGGCUGCUCUGGUGACAUCCCGCUGCCUUGCACCAGCUGACCAGACUUUCUCAGCGAGGGCUCCUCCCUUCCCUGGCAUCCUUAAAAUAAAGAAAACGCUGCACUGUUGGCACA